ensembl:lncRNA
AUGUGUCUUUGAAUAUACUGUUGAGGAGUCUCACUUGAGCUAAGGACUCUGAGGGAGGAGAUGGGAUUUCCAUUUCUUACUCUGCCAUUCACCUGCUGGGGGAACUCAGGAAUGCCUUCAUCUCCACAGGGCUCGGUUUUCUGAUGUGAAAUGGGCCAGUAAUACAGAUCCUGCUGCGAUUGCCUUAUUGAGGGGGCCGAAUAAAAGCGAUCACAGAUGUGAAUGCAUUUUGAAAUGGAAAAUCUGUGUUUGCAGGUGAAUUUGGAACCAUCUUCAGAAUCAGGUUGCCGUGCAGUCUGUCAAUGUAUUGUAACUGAGACCUGCAAGAGCUCUUCUCACACCUGGGAACAUCGUGGUGACAUUGUGUCUGCCACCAGCUCCAGCCCCAGGAAGGGACAAUUUCAUCACCACCAACCCAAGAGCAUCUUCCAAGAGGAAUUGGAGCCCCUCAAAAAGUUGAAGUCUCUGAACAUCCCAUAGCCUGUUGUCUCCUGCUAUAGUCUGCCGAUAAUAUAUCCUUUGAGCUUAUCAGAGUAAUGUGUAACUUCCGUAAGAGUGAAGUUCAGAAAAUGCAUUUUUGACAAGUUUCUGAUGACAUCGUCCUCAUCUGUGAACCAAUCACUGUAGCCACAGAUAUGGGAUGUUCCAGUUGCUCAGGGCUGGUUCACAUGACUACCUGGGCCACUGCACAUGGCCACAAGGCGGAAACGAUUAUAGUGUUGGCUUUUUUUAAUAGUACGUUUCUUCUGGAAAACACUGAAGAGCUCCUAAGAGCAUGGAGUGUGGGAGUGGUGAUUCCACCAAGGAAAACCACAGUCUGUUGUCAGAAAAAGAGGAAAUGGAUGUUGAGCGGGGGAAAAAAAUGAAAAUCUAUAGUAAGCAUUGUUCUCCCAUUACUUCAUAUGUAUAAACCUUGCUUUUCCCAAAUCAAGUAUAAGCUCAUUCAUGAAAACAGAACUCAAUAUCUAACUAAUAAUCAAUAUAUUCUUAUUGAUUAGUCAAAAGCAAAUAUUUAUUGGGCAUCCACAGAGAACAAGAUGCUAUGAUGCUUAGAGAAAUCUUAAAGAUCCAGAUUUGAGACUUUAGUUUAAGUGCAACAAACAAAUCCUGAAUAUCCACUGCAUGUCAAACACAGUGCUAGUGCUACGGAUGCAAAGUUGUAUAUGAUACAACCCCCGCCCUUAAAAAUCCUCCCUUAGCAGAGUAAAAACAGCAAUACUAACAUUUAUGGAGUGUCUACUAUGUGCCUAUAUUCCAUAUACAUUAAUCUUAAGUCUUAGUACAACCCAUGCAAAGUAUGAUAUAUUUAUUUUAAUAUGAUUUUACUGAAUACCAGAGAAUGACACUUCAAACCUGAUAGUCAAACUUAGAGGUCAAACAAAAUGUUAAGAAUGUGCAGUUAAUUAGUAGAGUGGAGAAAUCUGGUUAUGAGGUGGCUCAGAAUUGGUUCUUAUAAUCUAGAUAUGUAGAUAGUAAAAUAGAUUUUAAAAAUCCAUUGCACAAGUACUUUUCACAGGCUUUCUUUUCUGAAGAAUUCUGAAAAGCCCUUAAGACCUCAUUGCUUGUCUCUGUAAACACAUUCACACACCCUUCUUUAAUCUUACUAUUCAAUGAAUUGCAUCCUCAACCUUUUUCUGUAUGAAUUUCAAAGCUACUCAACCUGUUAGAGGAGCUCAGUGCCAGAUAAAUACGAUGUAUUAUAAUUACUAUUUUGGCCAUAAGUCUUUUUUUUCCUAUAAUGGAGCAUACUCUUUGUGGCCACUGAACCCUACUUCUGGUUGAUUAGGCUCUUAGUAUUUAAUAAGCUUCAACAGGAAAUGAGUAGAAUUAGUACAGAGUCUUGAAUAAUGAGCUGUUAAUGUAUUUUUAAUGACCAAGAUGUUCCAACAAGAAACUUGUUGAUUUUUGUCACUAAAACAUUAUUGGAAAAAUGAUCUGCACGUAGCCUGGCUGGUGUUUUAUGUGAAGUGAGAUGAUGUUUUACUACAUUUCGAGUACUCUUUUACAAGCCAACUUGAUUUAGGGAAGUUGUUGCAGGAAGAGGAAAGAGCUUAGCAAUUAGAACUGAGUAUAAACUGUAAUAUUUUUUAGGAUUUCAGUCACAGAAAAAAAUGUAUUUCUUUUUUUUUUUUCUUAGAUGGAGUCUUGCUCUGUUGCUCUGGCUGGAGUGCAGUGGCGUGAUCUCGGCUCACUGCAACCUCUGCCUCCUGGGUUCAAGCAAUUCUCCUACCUCAGCCUCCCAAGUAGCUGGGAUUACCGGCACCCAGCACCGCGCCAGGCUAAUUUUUGUAUUUUUAGAAGAGACGGGGUUUCACCAUGUUGACCAGACUGGUCUCGAACUCCUGACCUCGUGAUUCACCCACCUUGACCUCCCAAAGUGCUGGGAUUCCAGGCAUGAGCCACCGCUCCCAGCCAGAAAUAUAUUUCUUAUAGAGGAUCUUACUUUGUCUUUUUUGUUCCUUGCUUGAUAGUAGUUAUUAACCCGUUUUACAGAUAGACAAAGUGGAAAAGCUUGUUCUGCUUUUUUUUUCUGUAAAAUAGAAGGAUCAUUUCUGCCUGGGUCUGACUUUUUUAGUGGAAGAGAUUAUAUAGGCUUUCUGGGUCUCAGUUUCUUUAUCUGUUAAAUUAAGAUAAUAAAGUGCAUGUGUCACAAGAUAUUGUAAAAACUAAAUGAAAUAAUUCAUGUAAAACACUACUAGAUCUUUCUCUUCUGUGUUCCUUCCGUCAAGUUAAUUAAUAUCUCCUUAAGAUAUUACUCCUUUGGGAAAAUUUUGCAUUUUAGUAGCCUUUAAUACUCUAAUUGCAUUGUGAGCUCCCUACGGUCAUUGUGACCUCCCUAAUCUUACUUUAGACAUUUUUCUUUUUAUUCCUUGCAUUUAGCACAACACUGGGCUCAGAGCAGGUGAUAGAUAAACACCUGUCAAAAGAUUGCCUCCAAGGUGUCUUCCAGGACUUACACACUGUAAUUACUUCCAACAUUAUUCUCCUUAAGGAGAUACAGAAUGUAAAUUUGUAACUAGAGUCAUCUGUUUCUUUUGUAGAAUCAUGGCCCAAGAAUCCCAGGUUUCAAGUUAAGAAGCACAAAAUUGGUUCAUUCAGUGAUCAUUCACUAUGACAUCAAAACCCUGCAAUUCCAGGAUAGUAAUUAAUUUAAUUGCAAUGAAUCUAUGGCUAGACACUGUCUCUCCAGCAAAAAUGUAGCUGCAAAUGCUUCCUGGGGGCAAAUUUGAAGAGUAACAUGAAGUAGAGUUGACCCCAGAAGAGAAUAAAGAAAAAAGCUACAUAUCCAGGAUAUUUGCACAUAGUGUUUCAUUUUAGAUGGCGAUUUUUGGUAUUUAAGUGGAUUGGGAUAUAAGGUAGGAAGGAGUAAUGAAAUGAGAGAAUAUUUGCCUCUAAUAUACAAUUGAUGAUGAUAACGAUGAUAGUUAUCAUUUAUGAGCAGUUACUACAUGAAAGUGCCAUGCCAAGGAAUUUAUAUCCAUUGUUUCAUUUCCUCUUCAUAGCUACGCUAAGAGGUAAAUGCUGCUACUGCUUCCAUUUUACAAAUGAAAAAAAAAAUGAGGCUCAGAGAAGUUAAUUCCUUUGACAAUGUCAUAUAGUCAAUAUGUAGUAGAGGCAGAAUUUGAACCCAGUUUUGAGUAUUUUAAAAUAGCAUAUUUAGCCAAUUCUGUAGCUGAAUCCUAAACUUCUCUCUUCUUCUAAUGCAAACAAUAAAUUAAAUAGUAAUUUAAGUUUUAUAACUACUACAUGUUAAAAAGAAAAAUCCCAUGUUGGAUAAGCAGAUUUAUUUAACAAUGUAAUAAUAACAAUUUCCAGGGCCUUAUCAAGGGUUAACUAUGAAUCAGAAAUUUUAUACAGUGAUAUUGUGGGUUUUAUCUCUUAUUUAAAACUCUGCAAAGAUAUAAUAGCCCAUUUUACACAUGAGAAAACUAAACUCAUGCAACUAAAACAACUUCCCUUAUUCCCAGAGGUGACAAGUGGCAGAGGACAGAUCUUGAAUGCAGG